GGGCUACUAGCUCAGCUUGGUUAGAGCGCUCGGCUGAUAACCGGGAGGUCGUUAGUUCGAAUCUGACGUGGCCCA
rnacentral:tRNA from 1 species